GACGAACGCUGGCGGCGUGCCUAAUACAUGCAAGUCGAACGCAGUGGGGACGGGUGAGUAACACGUGGGUAACCUCCCAUCAGAGGGGAUAACACUUGGAAACAGGUGCUAAACCGAUACUGAUGUAUGGACUCGCGGUGCAUUAGCUAGUUGGAGAGGUAACGGCCAACAAAGGCCACGAUGCAUAGCGGACCUGAGAGGGUGAUCGGCCACACGGGGACUGAGACACGGCCCAGACUCCUACGGGAGGCAGCAGUAGGGAAUCUUCGGCAAUGGGCGAAAGUCUGACCGAGCAACGCCGCGUGAGUGAAGAAGGUUUUCGGAUCGUAAAACUCUGUUGUUAGAGAGGCGGUAUCUAACCAGAAAGCCACGGCUAACUACGUGCCAGCAGCCGCGGUAAUUC
rnacentral:rRNA from 1 species